AUUGAACGCUGGCGGCAGGCUUAACACAUGCAAGUCGAACGGAGUGGCGGACGGGUGAGUAAUGCUUGGGAAUCUAGCUUAUGGAGGGGGAUAACUACGGGAAACUGUAGCUAAUACCGCGUACUAUCAGAUGAGCCUAGGUCGGAUUAGCUAGUUGGUGGGGUAAAGGCCUACCAAGGCGACGAUCCGUAACUGGUCUGAGAGGAUGAUCAGUCACACUGGAACGGAGACACGGUCCAGACUCCUACGGGAGGCAGCAGUGGGGAAUAUUGGACAAUGGGCGAAAGCCUGAUCCAGCCAUGCCGCGUGUCUGAAGAAGGCCUUCGGGUUGUAAAGGACUUUUGUCAGGGAAGCGGUACCUGAAGAAUAAGCACCGGCUAACUCCGUGCCAGCCGCCGCGGUAAUAC
rnacentral:rRNA from 1 species